UACGAAGGGGGCUAGCGUUGUUCGGAAUCACUGGGCGUAAAGCGCACGUAGGCGGACUUUCAAGUCAGGGGUGAAAUCCCGGAGCUCAACUUCGGAAUUGCCUUUGAUACUGUUGGUCUCGAGUCCGGAAGAGGUGGGUGGAAUUCCUAGUGUAGAGGUGAAAUUCGUAGAUAUUAGGAAGAGCACCGGUGGCGAAGGCGGCCCACUGGUCCGGUACUGACGCUGAGGUGCGAAAGCGUGGGGAGCAAACAGG
rnacentral:rRNA from 1 species